UACGUAGGGGGCAAGCGUUGUCCGGAAUUAUUGGGCGUAAAGAGCGUGUAGGCGGUCCGGUAAGUCAGCUGUGAAAGUCAAGGGCUCAACCCUUGAAAGCCGGUUGAUACUGUCGGGCUAGAGUCCGGAAGAGGCGAGUGGAAUUCCCGGUGUAGCGGUGAAAUGCGCAGAUAUCGGGAGGAACACCAAUGGCGAAGGCAGCUCGCUGGGACGUUACUGACGCUGAGACGCGAAAGCGUGGGGAGCAAACAGG
rnacentral:rRNA from 1 species